UACGGAAUGUGCAACCGUUAUUCGGAAUCACUGGGCUUAAAGAGUCCGUAGGCGGCUUGUUAGGUGAGGUGUGAAAUCCCUCGGCUCAACCGAGGAAUUGCGCUUCAAACCGGCAAGCUAGAGGAGGAUAGAGGUGGGCGGAACUGAUGGUGGAGCGGUGAAAUGCGUUGAUAUCAUCAGGAACACCGGAGGCGAAGGCGGUCCACUGGGUCCUUUCUGACGCUGAGGGACGAAAGCUAGGGGAGCGAACGGG
rnacentral:rRNA from 1 species